rnacentral:misc_RNA from 1 species
GGAGCAGGAGCAGCAACAAACAGAGAGAGAAGAAAACAGAGGAAGAUAAGAGGAAAAUUUAUCGAAUUCGAAUCGAGAGAAAAGGGGAAGUGAAGUUGCGAAGAGUGAGAAUUUCAAAGGAAAUGAACAAAGGAGCAAACGGAAAUCAGCAAUUGGAGUUACCGGCGGGAUUCAGAUUCCAUCCGACAGACGACGAAUUGGUGCAGCACUAUCUCUGCAGGAAAUGCGCCGGACAGUCGAUUGCUGUAUCAAUUAUAGCUGAAAUUGAUCUUUACAAGUUUGAUCCAUGGCAGUUGCCUGAGAAGGCUUUGUACGGUGAAAAAGAGUGGUAUUUUUUCUCACCAAGGGAUAGAAAAUAUCCGAACGGUUCACGGCCGAAC